UACGUACUGUGCGAACGUUAUUCGGAAUCACUGGGCUUAAAGGGUGUGUAGGCGGCUAGCUAAGUAGGGUGUGAAAGGCCUCGGCCUAACCGAGGCAUCGCGCUCUAAACUGACUGGCUUGAGUAAGAUAGGGGUGUGCGGAACUUCCAGUGGAGCGGUGAAAUGUGUUGAUAUUGGAAGGAACGCCGGUGGCGAAAGCGGCACACUGGGUCUUUACUGACGCUGAGACACGAAAGCCAGGGUAGCGAACGGG
rnacentral:rRNA from 1 species